GGGCCCGCACAAGCGGUGGAGUAUGUGGUUUAAUUCGAUGCAACGCGAAGAACCUUACCAGGGUUUGACAUCCUGCGAAUCUCUUGGAAACGAGAGAGUGCCUUCGGGAACGCAGUGACAGGUGGUGCAUGGCUGUCGUCAGCUCGUGUCGUGAGAUGUUGGGUUAAGUCCCGCAACGAGCGCAACCCACGUCUUUAGUUGCCAGCAUUUAGUUGGGCACUCUAGAGAGACUGCCGGUGAUAAACCGGAGAAGGUGUGGAUGACGUCAAGUCAUCAUGCCCCUUACAUCUGGGCUACACACGUACUACAAUGGUAGGGACAACAGGUUGCCAACCCGCGAGGGUGAGCCAAUCCCCAAAACCUAUCUC
rnacentral:rRNA from 1 species